UGCCAUAAAACUUUUCAGUAGUCCUUGC
rnacentral:piRNA from 1 species